rfam:Camelus ferus unplaced genomic scaffold scaffold1525, whole genome shotgun sequence.
GAGGGUAUAGCUCAGUGGUAGAGUGCCUGUCUAGCAUGCACAAGGUCCUGGGUUCAAUCCUCAGUACCUCCA